AUUGAACGCUGGCGGCAGGCCUAACACAUGCAAGUCGAGCGGAUGAAGGGAGCUUGCUCCUGGAUUCAGCGGCGGACGGGUGAGUAAUGCCUAGGAAUCUGCCUGUUAGUGGGGGAUAACGUCCGGAAACGGGCGCUAAUACCGCAUACGUCCUGAGGGAGAAAGUGGGGGAUCUUCGGACCUCACGCUAUCAGAUGAGCCUAGGUCGGAUUAGCUAGUUGGUGGGGUAAAGGCCUACCAAGGCGACGAUCCGUAACUGGGCUGAGAGGAUGAUCAGUCACACUGGAACUGAGACACGGUCCAGACUCCUACGGGAGGCAGCAGUGGGGAAUAUUGGACGAUGGGCGAAAGCCUGAUCCAGCCAUGCAGCGUGUGUGAAGAAGGUCUUCGGAUUGUAUAGCACUUUAAGUUGGGAGGAAGGGCAGUAAGUUAGUACCUUGCUGUUUUGACGUUACCAACAGAAUAAGCACCGGCUAACUUCGUG
rnacentral:rRNA from 1 species